GAAGCCAAACGCGGCCGUUGAUGCGGUGGGUUUGGCACCAAAUGAACCGAAAGAAAACCCGGACGUGCCUUCGCGUGAACAGAGAGGGCGCCAUGUAUAUGUGGAGGUGCAACCUGAACCCUUUAGCACCGACACCUGCAAUCUACAGCUGCCUAUGGUGUAGGCGAGCAGCAACAAAGUGGGAUGUGCUGACAACAGGUGUAGUGUUGCCUACUUCCAUGUUCUCCCAAACAAGAACAUAUCGGAGGCAACACUGCUCAUCUGCAACUACUCUAUAAAGUGAGGCACUUUUCUUGUACAGAACAAUAUGCAUGCAUGCAAACACUACAGAGACAUUAUCAUCAGAAAAUGUCAAAGGUUUUUUUUCAAUAUACAAGUCAGGUGAAAUUCUAUAUUUCUUAUUCUCAUCAAAUCUCAGGAAAAAACAUAUAACAUGAUUAGCAAUUAUAAAACAAAUUAUUAUCAGUGUCCAAAGCUUGAUAUUUAUUUCCCCUGUGCCAUGGAUAUCUUUUAUUGUCCAAAAACUAUACAAAAUGCAUGAAUGAACCACUGAGAACUGUUGCUGUGGGCAGCCAUGGACACACACUCUGGAGUUUAUUUUGAUUCAAUCUCACAAACACCAUCCUGAUCCCUCAAGUACUGACUAGAGCACACAUGUGGAUUAAUCCACCACUAAAAAUAGUCCCCUAUGUUAAGUAAGAUUUCUAUCUUCAGUAGGAACCAUUUGGGUUGGGGCUGUGUGUGCCAGGCAGGUUGGGGAUAGAGAUAGACUAACACAUUUUGGUUUUGUGUCAUGUGUUAACAACAAAAAUAUAGGAAUAACAUCAGUCUUAUCCAAAAGUAUUAGUCGUGAACUAAAAAAAAACAAAAGCAUAACAAUGCCCGAUUAUUAUGUUCAUCUGUGUUUCAGGGGGGGCUGUGAGGCUCCCUAUAAGAGCGGGAAGCCUUGUUCUGUCGUCCGUCCAGCUGCGGCGGCUCCUGCAGGAGGAACCAGUGCUCAUCAAGCAGAAAACCCAAAAGACAACACAUUGUUUUAAAUGUGUUUUUAAAAUGAAGAAACAAGUCACCAUCCAAAGUCAAGUUUGAACAAAACAUACAACAUAACAAAAUGAUGCAGUUGUCCAGUUACCACUAUAUUCAAAGUCAAUCUUUAUUAAUGCGUGUUUAACAUAUGAGGUGAGUUAAUGGUUUGAAUGUUUUUUGGUUUAUUGUUGUUGGUAACCAACAAAAUCAUUUCUUUCGUUGGUUGAAUUAGUUGCCCGGUUUUUACUUCUUGAAGACAUCUGUAGGGAGUUUCUGCAAUUGAUUUUAUAGACUUUUAUAGAACCAUUGAGUAAAAUGAAGCAAUUUUCUUGUACAUUUUAAAUACAAUAUUGAAUGUGUUAUUGAUUUUAUUUACAACUUGAUUCAAUAUUUUUGUUCAGUGGGAAAAACUGUUAAGUUUAUUUUGGCAGUCAAAUCAAAGUUGUCUAUUUGCCUGAGUGAACAAUAAUACAGUUAGAAAUAACUGAUGCCUCUGUGUACCCCUAUAUAUUUAUGCAUAUAAUUGUCUUCUCCCUACUUCGUCUGUUCAUUUCUUGGUGUUUAUUAACUGCUGAUGCAAGACAUUUUCUGUCCUGCAUUUCCCCUCAUUACAUUUCUGUGCCAUAAAACUAGACAACUGCAGCUUUUAUGGUCUGAAAUAUGAUGGAAUUAGCAGUGUUUCAACCAAUUCACUCACACACACACACACACACACACACACACACACACACACACACACACACACACACACACACACACACACACAAAAAGCAAACGUGUAAAAUAUUUUAAAUAGGAACCAGCAAAAAAACAAAAGUGUAACGAGCAAUCAAGCUCAUCCCUUCACGGUCAUAACUGUUUGUUUAGGAGCUCUUUAUUCAGAAAUGGAAAGUGGUUAAAAAUGGCUUCCCAGCCUUCUCUUGUGCAUUUCUGGUUAUUAGGCUAUAAUAAAUUGAUUGAUUGAUA